CAUAAUAUACCCUUAGCUAACCCAUAUCCCCAGUACACUCACAUCCUCCAAAACAAAUAUUUAACUACAUCUCACAACACUCUAAUACAAGAGUAUAAAAAAACAAAUAUUUAACUACAUCUCACAACACUCUAAUACAAAAGUAUAAGAAAAUAAUCUAGAUCUUUUGACUGGCACAUCUUGGAAUGAAGAACUUCAAAUACAAGCUUAAAGUGCUUUUGACUAAUGCAUCUUGGAAUGAAGAACUUAAAUCCUAUAUAUA
rnacentral:lncRNA from 1 species